rnacentral:rRNA from 1 species
UCACACGUGCUACAAUGGUUGGUACAACGAGUUGCGAGUCGGUGACGGCGAGCUAAUCUCUUAAAGCCAAUCUCAGUUCGGAUUGUAGGCUGCAACUCGCCUACAUGAAGUCGGAAUCGCUAGUAAUCGCGGAUCAGCACGCCCGCGGUCGAAUACGUUCCCGGGCCUU